AAUCCUCAACCCCGUCCAUCGGUCAGGGCUUGGACUUUGGAGCAUGCUGGUGAAGGUCGGCUCCUCUUUAAAUGCAUCAGCGGAGAAAAACAAACCUUUUUUCCCCCUUCAGCGUAAUAACUGCGUUGUGCUGUGGUCGCGAAAGGGUCCGCUCAUAAUCGUCCUCGGACAAACACCGAAUCUG
rnacentral:misc_RNA from 1 species